rnacentral:misc_RNA from 1 species
UCUCCGUUGGUGAACCAGCGGAGGGAUCAUUACCGAGUUUUCAACUCCCAAACCCCUGUGAACAUACCUAUCGUUGCCUCGGCGGAUCAGCCCGCUCCCGGUAAAACGGGACGGCCCGCCAGAGGACCCCUAAACUCUGUUUCUAUAUGUAACUUCUGAGUAAAACCAUAAAUAAAUCAAAACUUUCAACAACGGAUCUCUUGGUUCUGGCAUCGAUGAAGAACGCAGC